rnacentral:rRNA from 1 species
UACGGGAGGCAGCAGUGGGGAAUAUUGCACAAUGGGCGCAAGCCUGAUGCAGCCAUGCCGCGUGUAUGAAGAAGGCCUUCGGGUUGUAAAGUACUUUCAGUCGUGAGGAAGGUGUUAAGGUUAAUAACCUUAGCAAUUGACGUUAGCGACAGAAGAAGCACCGGCUAACUCCGUGCCAGCAGCCGCGGUAAUACGGAGGGUGCGAGCGUUAAUCGGAAUUACUGGGCGUAAAGGGCACGCAGGCGGUUAAUUAAGUUGGAUGUGAAAUCCCCGGGCUUAACCUGGGAAUGGCAUUCAAGACUGGUUAGCUAGAGUCUUGUAGAGGGGGUAGAAUUCCGAUGUGUAGCGGUGAAAUGCGUAGAGAUGUGGAGGAAUACCGGUGGCGAAGGCGGCCCCUGGGACAAAGGCUGACGCUCAUGUGCGAAAGCGUGGGGAGCGAAACAGGGAUUAGAUACC